AUUGGCGACCGGGUGAGUAACACGUGACUACCUGCCCUUGAGUGGGGGAUAACCCCGGGAAACCGGGGCUAAUACCGCAUAAUCGCAAGCAAAGGAGCGCUUUUGGAGGGGGUCGCGGCUGAUUAGCUAGUUGGUAGGGUAAUGGCCUACCAAGGCGAAGAUCGGUAUCCGGCCUGAGAGGGCGCACGGACACACUGGAACUGGAACACGGUCCAGACUCCUACGGGAGGCAGCAGUGGGGAAUUUUGCGCAAUGGGGGAAACCCUGACGCAGCAACGCCGCGUGGAGGAUGAAGCCCCUUGGGGCGUAAACUCCUUUCGACCGGGAAGAUUGACGGUACCGGUGGAAGAAGCACCGGCUAACUCUGUGCCAGCAGCCGCGGUAAUACAGAGGGUGCGAGCG
rnacentral:rRNA from 1 species